AUAGCGUAUAUUAAAGUUGUUGCAGUUAAAAAGCUCGUAGUCGAACUUCUGGUUGGCGUAUGCAUGGCUACGGUCGUGUAUGCGUACAGCUAUCCUCUUGAGAACCACCGAGGCCUUAACUGGUCGUUGAUGGGUAUCAGGAAUUUUACUUUGAAAAAAUUAGAGUGUUUCAGGCAGGCGAUUGCCCGAAUACAUUAGCAUGGAAUAAUGGAAUAGGACUUCGGCCCAUUUUGUUGGUUAUUGGACGAAGUAAUGAUUAAUAGGGACAGUUGGGGGCAUUAGUAUUUAAUUGUCAGAGGUGAAAUUCUUGGAUUUAUUAAAGACUAACUAAUG
rnacentral:rRNA from 1 species